UGUUUGUUUCAUUGAUGUCACGAUUCUUAUUCGAGAAAAACGAUGCUAAAAAUCUUUGAAAAUAGCCUUGUAGCAACGAAAUUAUUUCUUUUAUCGUUUAGUAAAGAAUUACAACACACUGAUUUACUGUUUCCACCUCGAAAUGAAUGUCAGAUGGCAUUGGUAUUAAAGAAUCUUUCUUCUUCAGAUUCAUCAUCAAUAUUUAUCAUCUGCUGAAAAAAAACUAACGGAAGCUGCUGCACAGAACAGACAUAACCUGUUUUGUAGAAACCUGCGGUAAAAGUUUCUCUGGAAUAUUUCAUCUGAGUGAGAUUAUUAGGAGAAAAGCCAUAUUGCUGUCAUAUCUGUGGUAAACCAUUCUCUCAGAAUAGUUGCUUAAUUAUUCACAAACGCACUCAUACAGGAGAGAAACCAUUGUCACUGUGACACCUGUGGUAAAUCAUCCUCUCAAAGGGGACUGUUAAAUUAUCACAAAUAUAAUCAUAUAGGAGAGAUAUGAUAUACUGCGAGAUCUGCAGUAAAAUACUGUUGAAAUCAAGUGACUUAACUGUACAUUUGUUCAUUCAUUCCAGUAAAGGUUCAUUUGCAUUCUAAAUCAAUCUCUUUAAGAAGUAACUUAAUUACCCAUGAACACCUUGAUACAGGAAAUGAACCAUUUCAAUAUAGUAAAACAUUCUGUAAAUGUCUUUAUGUAACAGCAAAGGCAGGUGUCUGCAGGUGAGAAAUUAUGUCAUGAAUUAUCUGUGGUAAAUCAUUAUUCUGAUUUAAGAGCUGCGUUCAUAAAGGGAUGAAACCAUAUUGCUGUGAUAUGAGAGACAAAUCAAAGAAGCACAAAUAAGUCCAAUAAAGGAAUAAUUCCAUAUUUAUAAAAUCUAUUA